UAGAGUUUGAUCAUGGCUCAGAUUGAACGCUGGCGGCAGGCCUAACACAUGCAAGUCGAGCGGAAACGACAACAUUGAAUCUUCGGAGGAUUUGUUGGGCGUCGAGCGGCGGACGGGUGAGUAAUGCCUAGGAAAUUGCCUUGAUGUGGGGGAUAACCAUUGGAAACGAUGGCUAACACCGCAUAAUGCCUACGGGCCAAAGAGGGGGACCUUCGGGCCUCUCGCGUCAAGAUAUGCCUAGGUGGGAUUAGCUAGUUGGUGAGGUAAUGGCUCACCAAGGCGACGAUCCCUAGCUGGUCUGAGAGGAUGAUCAGCCACACUGGAACUGAGACACGGUCCAGACUCCUACGGGAGGCAGCAGUGGGGAAUAUUGCACAAUGGGCGAAAGCCUGAUGCAGCCAUGCCGCGUGUAUGAAGAAGGCCCUCGGGUUGUAAAGUACUUUCAGUUGUGAGGAAGGGUGUGUAGUUAAUAGCUGCGCAUCUUGACGUUAGCAACAGAAGAAGCACCGGCUAACUCCGUGCCAGCAGCCGCGGUAAUACGGAGGGUGGGAGCGUUAAUCGGAAUUACUGGGCGUAAAGCGCAUGCAGGUGGUUCAUUAAGUCAGAUGUGAAAGCCCGGGGCUCAACCUCGGAACUGCAUUUGAAACUGGUGAACUAGAGUGCUGUAGAGGGGGGUAGAAUUUCA
rnacentral:rRNA from 1 species